rfam:Oryza glumipatula chromosome 8, whole genome shotgun sequence.
AAUAAGUGUAGCCAUGAGUUUUCGCGCCUAACUUUGAUCGUCCGUCUUAUUUGAAAUUUUUUUAAAUUAACAUUUUUAUUAUUAUAAGAUGAUAAAAUAUGACUAGUACUUUACUCGUGACUUAUGCUUUUAAUUUUUUUCAAUAAAUUUUUAAAUAAGACGAAUGGUUAAAAUUGGGUACGGAAAACCAUAGCUACACUUAUU